GCUGCCAUAUCACAUUGAAACACCAGUUCUCAUAUGAUCACUGAAGUUAAGCAAAAUCAAGCCUGGUCAGUACCUAGAUGGGUGACCGCUUGGGAAAGCCAGGUGCU